rnacentral:rRNA from 1 species
GAUGAACGCUGGCGGCGUGCUUAACACAUGCAAGUCGAACGAUGAAGCCCAGCUUGCUGGGUGGAAUAGUGGCGAACGGGUGAGCAACACGUGAGUAACCUGCCCUUAACUCUGGGAUAAGCCUGGGAAACUGGGUCUAAUACCGGAUAGGAGCGCCUACCGCAUGGUGGGUGUUGGAAAGAUUUAUCGGUUUUGGAUGGACUCGCGGCCUAUCAGCUUGUUGGUGAGGUAAUGGCUCACCAAGGCGACGACGGGUAGCCGGCCUGAGAGGGUGACCGGCCACACUGGGACUGAGACACGGCCCAGACUCCUACGGGAGGCAGCAGUGGGGAAUAUUGCACAAUGGGCGAAAGCCUGAUGCAGCGACGCCGCGUGAGGGAUGACGGCCUUCGGGUUGUAAACCUCUUUCAGUAGGGAAGAAGCGAAAGUGACGGUACCUGCAGAAGAAGCACCGGCUAACUACGUG